rnacentral:SRP_RNA from 1 species
CCAGAUCCCCCGUACGGCAUGUUCGUGAUCAAUCCCCCAGGGUCGGAAGACAGCAAGGGUCGUCACGCUCUCAUGGGUGUGCGGGGGGUCGCCUUG